GAUGAACGCUGGCGGCGUGCCUAAUACAUGCAAGUCGAGCGAACAGACGAGGAGCUUGCUCCUCUGACGUUAGCGGCGGACGGGUGAGUAACACGUGGAUAACCUACUUCUAAGACUGGGAUAACUUCGGGAAACCGGAGCUACUACCGGAUAAUAUAUUGAACCGCAUGGUUCAAUAGUGAAAGACGGUUUUGCUGUCACUUAUAGAUGGAUCCGCGCCGCAUUAGCUAGUUGGUAAGGUAACGGCUUACCAAGGCGACGAUGCGUAGCCGACCUGAGAGGAUGAUCAGCCACACUGGAACUGAGACACGGUCCAGACUCCUACGGGAGGCAGCAGUAGGGAAUCUUCCGCAAUGGGCGAAAGCCUGACGGAGCAACGCCGCGUGAGUGAUGAAGGUCUUCGGAUCGUAAAACUCUGUUAUUAGGGAAGAACAAAAGUGUAAGUAACUAUGCACGUCUUGACGGUACCUAAUCAGAAAGCCACGGCUAACUACGUG
rnacentral:rRNA from 1 species